rnacentral:rRNA from 2 species
UGCAGCAACGCCGCGUGAGGGAUGACGGCCUUCGGGUUGUAAACCUCUUUUAGUAGGGAAGAAGCGAAAGUGACGGUACCUGCAGAAAAAGCACCGGCUAACUACGUGCCAGCAGCCGCGGUAAUACGUAGGGUGCAAGCGUUGUCCGGAAUUAUUGGGCGUAAAGAGCUCGUAGGCGGUUUGUCGCGUCUGCUGUGAAAUCCCGAGGCUCAACCUCGGGCUUGCAGUGGGUACGGGCAGACUAGAGUGCGGUAGGGGAGAUUGGAAUUCCUGGUGUAGCGGUGGAAUGCGCAGAUAUCAGGAGGAACACCGAUGGCGAAGGCAGAUCUCUGGGCCGUAACUGACGCUGAGGAGCGAAAGCAUGGGGAGCGAACAGGAUUAGAUACCCUGGUAGUCCAUGCCGUAAACGUUGGGCGCUAGAUGUAGGGACCUUUCCACGGUUUCUGUGUCGUAGCUAACGCAUUAAGCGCCCCGCCUGGGGAGUACGGCCGCAAGGCUAAAACUCAAAGGAAUUGACGGGGGCCCGCACAAGCGGCGGAGCAUGCGGAUUAAUUCGAUGCAACGCGAAGAACCUUACCAAGGCUUGACAUACACCGGAAACGGCCAGAGAUGGUCGCCCCCUUGUGGU